GCUCUCGUAGCUCAGCAGGAUAGAGCAGCGGAUUCCUAAUCCGCAGGUCGCAGGUUCGAAUCCUGCCGGGGGCA
rnacentral:tRNA from 1 species